rnacentral:rRNA from 1 species
GAUGAACGCUGGCGGCGUGCCUAAUACAUGCAAGUCGAGCGAACAGACGAGGAGCUUGCUCCUCUGACGUUAGCGGCGGACGGGUGAGUAACACGUGGAUAACCUACCUAUAAGACUGGGAUAACUUCGGGAAACCGGAGCUAAUACCGGAUAAUAUAUUGAACCGCAUGGUUCAAUAGUGAAAGACGGUUUUGCUGUCACUUAUAGAUGGAUCCGCGCCGCAUUAGCUAGUUGGUAAGGUAACGGCUUACCAAGGCAACGAUGCGUAGCCGACCUGAGAGGGUGAUCGGCCACACUGGAACUGAGACACGGUCCAGACUCCUACGGGAGGAAGCAGUAGGGAAUCUUCAGCAAUGGGCGAAAGCCUGACGGAGCAACGCCGCGUGAGUGAUGAAGGUCUUCGGAUCGUAAAACUCUGUUAUUAGGGAAGAACAAAUGUGUAAGUAACUAUGCACGUCUUGACGGUACCUAAUCAGAAAGCCACGGCUAACUACGUG